GCUCAGGAUGAACGCUGGCGGCGUGCUUAACACAUGCAAGUCGAACGGUGAAGCCCAGCUUGCUGGGUGGAUCAGUGGCGAACGGGUGAGUAACACGUGAGCAACCUGCCCCUGACUCUGGGAUAAGCGCUGGAAACGGCGUCUAAUACUGGAUACGAACAAGAAUCGCAUGGUUACUUGUUGGAAAGAUUUUUUGGUUGGGGAUGGGCUCGCGGCCUAUCAGCUUGUUGGUGAGGUAAUGGCUCACCAAGGCGUCGACGGGUAGCCGGCCUGAGAGGGUGACCGGCCACACUGGGACUGAGACACGGCCCAGACUCCUACGGGAGGCAGCAGUGGGGAAUAUUGCACAAUGGGCGCAAGCCUGAUGCAGCAACGCCGCGUGAGGGAUGACGGCCUUCGGGUUGUAAACCUCUUUUAGCAAGGAAGAAGCCUUCGGGUGACGGUACUUGCAGAAAAAGCGCCGGCUAACUACGUGCCAGCAGCCGCGGUAAUACGUAGGGCGCAAGCGUUAUCCGGAAUUAUUGGGCGUAAAGAGCUCGUAGGCGGUUUGUCGCGUCUGCUGUGAAAUCCCGAGGCUCAACCUCGGGCCUGCAGUGGGUACGGGCAGACUAGAGUGCGGUAGGGGAGAUUGGAAUUCCUGGUGUAGCGGUGGAAUGCGCAGAUAUCAGGAGGAACACCGAUGGCGAAGGCAGAUCUCUGGGCCGUAACUGACGCUGAGGAGCGAAAGGGUGGGGAGCAAACAGGCUUAGAUACCCUGGUAGUCCACCCCGUAAACGUUGGGAACUAGUUGUGGGGUCCUUUCCACGGAUUCCGUGACGCAGCUAACGCAUUAA
rnacentral:rRNA from 1 species